rnacentral:rRNA from 1 species
CAGCCGCCGCGGGAAUACGAAGGGUGCAAGCGUUACUCGGAAUUACUGGGCGUAAAGCGUGCGUAGGUGGUGGUUUAAGUCCGUUGUGAAAGCCCUGGGCUCAACCUGGGAAUUGCAGUGGAUACUGGGUCACUAGAGUGUGGUAGAGGAUAGUGGAAUUUCCGGUGUAGCAGUGAAAUGCGUAGAGAUCGGAAGGAACAUCUGUGGCGAAGGCGACCAUCUGGGCCAACACUGACACUGAGGCACGAAAGCGUGGGGAGCAAACAGGAUUAGAUACCCCCGUAGUCCCUGUCUCUUAUAC